UGCAAGUCGAGCGGACAGAAGGGAGCUUGCUCCCGGAUGUUAGCGGCGGACGGGUGAGUAACACGUGGGUAACCUGCCUGUAAGACUGGGAUAACUCCGGGAAACCGGAGCUAAUACCGGAUAGUUCCUUGAACCGCAUGGUUCAAGGAUGAAAGACGGUUUCGGCUGUCACUUACAGAUGGACCCGCGGCGCAUUAGCUAGUUGGUGGGGUAAUGGCUCACCAAGGCGACGAUGCGUAGCCGACCUGAGAGGGUGAUCGGCCACACUGGGACUGAGACACGGCCCAGACUCCUACGGGAGGCAGCAGUAGGGAAUCUUCCGCAAUGGACGAAAGUCUGACGGAGCAACGCCGCGUGAGUGAUGAAGGUUUUCGGAUCGUAAAGCUCUGUUGUUAGGGAAGAACAAGUGCGAGAGUAACUGCUCGCACCUUGACGGUACCUAACCAGAAAGCCACGGCUAACUACGUGCCAGCAGCCGCGGA
rnacentral:rRNA from 2 species